rnacentral:rRNA from 1 species
CCGGCGCACGGGUGAGUAACGCGUAUCCAACCUGCCUUACACUCUUGGACAGCCUUCUGAAGGGAGAUUAAUACAAGAUGUUAUCAUGAGUAAGCAUUUUCACAUGAUUAAAGGUUUACCGGUGUAAGAUGGGGAUGCGUUCCAUUAGAUAGUAGGCGGGGUAACGGCCCACCUAGUCUUCGAUGGAUAGGGGUUCUGAGAGGAAGGUCCCCCACAUUGGAACUGAGACACGGUCCAA